AUUGAACGCUGGCGGCAGGCCUAACACAUGCAAGUCGAGCGGAUGAAGGGAGCUUGCUCCUGGAUUCAGCGGCGGACGGGUGAGUAAUGCCUAGGAAUCUGCCUGGUAGUGGGGGAUAACGUCCGGAAACGGGCGCUAAUACCGCAUACGUCCUGAGGGAGAAAGUGGGGGAGCUUUGGACCUCACGCUCUCAGAUGAGCCUAGGUCGGAUUAGCUAGCUGGUGGGGUAAAGGCCUACCAAGGCGACGAUCCGUAACUGGACUGAGAGGCUGAUCAGUCACACUGGAAGUGGGACGCGCACCAGACGACUGCGGGAGGCAGCAGUGGGGAAUAUUAGGCAAUGGGGGAGAGCCUGAUCCAGCGAUGCCGCGUGUGAGAAGAAGGUCUUCGGAUUGUGAAGCACUUUAAGUGGGGAGGAAGGGCAGUAAGUUAAUACGUUGCUGUAUUGACGGUACCGGCAGAAUAAGCACCGGCUAACUUCGUG
rnacentral:rRNA from 1 species